UUCAAAAGUGGCAAUAGGCCAACUGGCUCGCUGAUUGGCUGUCAGCCUUGCCACGUCAUACUAUCCCCUGCUGCACAUACCACUAUAGAAGCCCGUGGUUACUUUUUGACCUCGUUUAAAAAAUAUCCUUGAGUUUGAUGCAAACUUGAGGCUUUUUAUGAAAGUUAGUUUUCGUUUUAAGUGACACAUGUGCACGAAACUAAAUAUUUCACUCUAAGUUUUACAAAUUUUGGGAUGAACGAUAACCGUACCCCUGGUGACGUCAUUUGUCGUUUUCCUGAUUUACACAGAAGACAGUCCCCCUAGAAAAGGCCUGAAUGGCGCAUGAUACAACGUCGGCGCAAACUUGUUUAGCUUUUGUUGCGGGUUGUAUGUUGUAUUACCCACCGUGAUAUUGUGAAAAUAUAUGAAGUUAUUACGAAGUUCUUUUGAAAAUUUACUAGGCUUCUGUGGCAGGCAUCGUCAAAUUGAUCAUCACCAUAAUAUUGACAUGUAAAUGUCCUGCCAUACCUUUCAAUUUGGGCAAAACAGCGCAGCGCAGAAGAACCGGCAGACGCCGAUGUCCGGCCCGCGCUUCAAGAACUGACAGACGGCAGAUGCUGAUGUCACGAUGUGCCAACGGGGCAGCGCAGUAAACCCGACGGACGCCGACGUCCAGUCCGCGCAGUGUAACGCAUAAGAACUGACAGACGUCGGUGUCCCGUCCGCUCAGAGCAGUGCAGAGGACCCGACAGUCGCCAGUGUCCCACUCCCGUCCACGCAUUGUAGCACAAAAGAGCGGCAAGGUGGCAUGACAACAACCAGUCACCGCGUCUAAAUCAAGCUUGGCAUGAAAAGCGCAUUUACGACUGCGUCUCGCCAGAUAUCCUUCUGCAAUCCGGCGCCAGUCCGGACAGAUGAGUAGUGCGUACAUCAUUGUCAUCGUUCGAUUACUGCGUUUUUACAUAAUAAAUUAUUUUUUCCGUCACGCUC